AUACAUGCAAGUCGAGCGGACCGACGGGAGCUUGCUCCCUUAGGUCAGCGGCGGACGGGUGAGUAACACGUGGGUAACCUGCCUGUAAGACUGGGAUAACUCCGGGAAACCGGGGCUAAUACCGGAUGCUUGAUUGAACCGCAUGGUUCAAUCAUAAAGGGUGGCUUUCAGCUACCACUUACAGAUGGACCCGCGGCGCAUUAGCUAGUUGGUGAGGUAACGGCUCACCAAGGCGACGAUGCGUAGCCGACCUGAGAGGGUGAUCGGCCACACUGGGACUGAGACACGGCCCAGACUCCUACGGGAGGCAGCAGUAGGGAAUCUUCCGCAAUGGACGAAAGUCUGACGGAGCAACGCCGCGUGAGUGAUGAAGGUUUUCGGAUCGUAAAACUCUGUUGUUAGGGAAGAACAAGUACCGUUCGAAUAGGGCGGCACCUUGACGGUACCUAACCAGAAAGCCACGGCUAACUACGUGCCAGCAGCCGCGGUAAUACGUAGGUGGCAAGCGUUGUCCGGAAUUAUUGGGCGUAAAGCGCGCGCAGGCGGUUUCUUAAGUCUGAUGUGAAAGCCCCCGGCUCAACCGGGGAGGGUCAUUGGAAACUGGGGAACUUGAGUGCAGAAGAGGAGAGUGGAAUUCCACGUGUAGCGGUGAAAUGCGUAGAGAUGUGGAGGAACACCAGUGGCGAAGGCGACUCUC
rnacentral:rRNA from 1 species